GCUGACAUAGACAUAGAAGCGUCUGGUCUCAUUGCAGAUGUAGCCCAACACUACAUUACUGUCUGUGUACAAUUCAGCCUCACUUAGUUGGAGAUCAAUUUCUGAAGUGAUAAGAUCAGCCAUUUCCACUGCUAAAACAGCUGCACAAAGCUCUAGUCUGGGUAUAGUGUGCUCUGGCCAUGGAGAUAGUUUUGCUUUACCCAUAACAAAUCCUAAAUGGCACUGAUCUUUGUAGUCAACAGUCUUGAUAUGAGCAACAGCAGCUACAGCCUUGGUUGAAGCAUCAGAGAAUACACAGAGUUUCCUCUCCUUGAUUCCUGCAGGAGAAGUAGAAGUGUAUUGCCUCGGAGCCUGUAAGUGCUAAUCGGCGGUCUGGUCAUCAUCCGUAGCCUUUUUUGAUCAUAUGAAAGAGGCAGCUCAGAGGGAUUUUCAGGACUGGUAAUACAAGAGCUGACGAUUAAAUAACCCCCACACUCCAUCACAUUAUCCAUUCAUAUCAAGGAUCAAGUGUCAGCUGGUCUGCUGGUAGUUUCAUCUGGAUCGGAUUGUGCAACGUUUUGGAAUUUUUUUACUGCCUCAUUUAUCUCAAAGAAUCCAAUCAUCAUGAAUAGAUUUAGAAAUAACUUAUUUUAAAGUCACAUUUAAACAUUGAUAUCAAAGGAGACUAAGCAAAUGUCACUAUUUCUAGAAAGCAGAUAUUUAUAUUUGAAAAUAGUCUGGCAGCAGCAUUGCUAAAGUGCACGUAUGUGAAUGUCCUUUAAUGCAUCACACAAAUUUGCCUUGUGUUGUGCAGAUACAGAAGUUCUUUUGAACCUCACUUAAAUGAUGGAGAAAAUAUUUUGUAUCAAAGUAGCGGUUUAUUUUGCCAAACACUAAUGGCAAAUGGCUGUAAAUGUGACUAUUUACCCCAAAAACACUGUACUGGAAAACUUGCUAUUAAUCUUGUAGAUUCAUGAGUUUUACGUGUAACAUAAGCUAUGUAUAAAGCUGCUUCUAAACGUCA